rnacentral:lncRNA from 1 species
AAUCGAAGUCGGGGCGAAGUCCGGCUCCCUUAGGAGUCCGGACAAAGUUUACCAGUAGUCGAGGUCGAGGACGGAGCCCGGACUCCUACACUGAGGUCGGGGAUGAAGUCCGGACGGAGUCUUCCUGCGGCCGGAGUCGGUGGCGAGAUCCGGCUCUCGUAGGAGUCCGGACUGAGUCUUCCUGCAAUUGGAGUUGGGGGCGAAGUCCGACUCCCGUAGAAGUUCGGACGGAAUCUUCCUGCAGCCGGAGUUGGGGACGAGGUCCGGCUCCCGUAGGAGUCCGGACGAAGGCUUCCUGCAAUUAAAGUUAGGGGCGAAGUCCGACUCCCGUAGGAGUCCGGAUGAAGUUUACCAGCAGUCGAAGUCGGGGAUGAAGCCCGGCUCCCAUAGGAGUCCGGACGAAGUUCACUUGCAAUUGACGUCGGGGUGAAGUCUGGUUCCCUUAGAAGUCCGAAUUGAGUUUACCUGCAGCCGGAGUUGAGGACGAGGCCCGGCUCCCGUAGGAGUCUGGGCGAAGUCUGCAGGUGAAGUCGUGGGUGGAGUCCGACUCCUGUAGGAGUCCGGACGAAGUCUGCCUGCAAUCAGAGUCGUGGACGAAAUUCGGCUCUCGUAGGAGUCCGAACGAAGUCUGCAGGUGAAGUCAUGGGCGGAGUCC